UGCUUCUUGCCUUUUUUCUUUCUGUGAGCCGGAGCCGGAGCCUUAGCCGGGGUCUCACUCGGUGGCGCAGAAACCGGAGCUGGUGGUGUUGCCGCCUCGGGAGCGGGAGAUGGUGGAGACUGAACUGGAACAGCCGUUGGUGGAGAGCUGACUGGCUCCGGAGCAGGAGGCGAGCUCACUGGAGCCGGUGAGGAAGCAGUCGGUGGGGAACUUACAGGAGCAGGGGUGGAAGCUUUCGGUGGAGAACUUACAGGAGCAGGGGUGGAAGCUUUCGGCGGAGAACUUACAGGAGCUGGAGUAGAAACUGUCGGUGGAGAACUUACAGGAGCUGAAGCCGGAGGAGUUGAAGUAGGAGCCGCCACUGGGGCUGCAGAUUUAUGCUUUGUAGGAGCUGCAGCAGGCGGGGUA
rnacentral:lncRNA from 1 species